rnacentral:rRNA from 1 species
CGCCUGUUUAACAAAAACAUUUCCUUUAGGUUUUUUUAAAGGUACUUUCUGCCCUAUGGUGAAUUCUAAAUGGCUGCAGUAUUUUGACUGUGCAAAGGUAGCAUAAUAAUUAGUUUUUUAAUUGAAGGCUGGUAUGAAUGGAAAAUUGAGAUACAUUUUUUAUUUAAUAUAAUUUUAAAAUUUAAAUUUUGAGUUAAAAUGCUUAAUUAGAUUCUCGGGACGAUAAGACCCUAUAGAACUUUACAUUAAUUUAAUUUAAUAAUUUUUUGAAAUGAUAUUUUACUAACAUAAAAUAUGUUUUGCUGGGGUGGUGGAUAAAUUUAAACUUUAUUAGUUAAAAUCAUUAUAAGUGUUAUUAUUGAUCUAUUUCUAAGGAAUAAAGAAUAAGUUACCUUAGGGAUAACAGCGUAAUUAUAAUGGAAAGUUCAUAUUUAUAUUAUUUUUUGCGACCUCGAUGUUGAAUUAAGGUAAAUCUUAAGAAGCAGUAUUCUUAAAUUUAAGUCUGUUCGACUUUUAAAUCGUACUUGAUCUGAGUUCAGACCGG